rnacentral:rRNA from 1 species
GAUGAACGCUGGCGGCGUGCCUAAUACAUGCAAGUCGAGCGAACAGACGAGGAGCUUGCUCCUCUGACGUUAGCGGCGGACGGGUGAGUAACACGUGUAUAACCUACCUAUAAGACUGGGAUAACUUCGGGAAACGGGAGCUAAUACCGGAUAAUAUAUUGAACCGCAUGGUUCAAUAGUGAAAGACGGUUUUGCUGUCACUUAUAGAUGGAUCCGCGCCGCAUUGGCUAGUUGGUAAGUUAACGGCUUACCAAGGCUACGAGGCGUAGCCGACCGGAGAGGGGGGUCGGCCACACGGGAAGUGAGACACGGUCCAGACUCCUACGGGAGGCAGCAGUAGGGAAUCUUCCGCAAUAGGCGAAAGCCUGACGGAGCAACGCCGCGUGAGUGAUGAAGGUCUUCGGAUCGUAAAACUCUGUUAUGAGGGAAGAACAAAUGUGUAAGUAACUAUGCACGUCUUGACGGUACCUAAUCAGAAAGCCACGGCUAACUACGUG